rnacentral:lncRNA from 1 species
UUUUGUCCUCAGCAUCCAGCCCAGUUUUUGGGUCCAUAAUGUGUGCCUAGUAAGUAUUAAGUGAAUGAAGAGGAUGGGAAAAGACCUCAUAAGAAUCAGGAGAGAAGUCUCAAAGUCAUUACACCAAAGGGCAAUCCUGUUACUAAGAGGAAACCUCUCUGUCCCUAUUUCUUUCCAGACACGUGUUUCUACUUUAGGCACAAUUAUAAGUUUGAUUUUUGGAAAAUCCAUAGCCUUUUAGAAAGAGCAGUUUAGAACGGGUGGGGAAGAAGCUGUUAUAGAUAAGACUACUGAAAACAGAAUUAAUACCUGGCCCUCCGAUAGGCACAGGGACAGGAGAGUAACGAAGCGCACCGUUGGUGCUCAAGGACGUGUACGCUCAGAGUGUGGCGGAAGGGCUUCAGGGAGCCGGGUGCUCCUGCACAUGCCAACAGCUGGCGCUCAAAAGGAGCGCCGGCUACUAGGAGGGUAAACUAUACCUGCAUCCUCUAAGAAAACAAAGCUUUGAAACCUGUUGGGUUUUAAUGGAAUAGCUUCAGCCACCUGGAACAGCACAGGAUUCUUCAUUCAGGAAGGUGCUCCCGGGACGUUUUGACACAGAAACUGUGUUGCUGGUCUGGAGACAGUCCUGAAAUCUCAUAACCACUUUUGGAUAUGGAGGGUAUCUUGCCAACGAACAACAGAAUGACAAACAAAACGUGUCUUAGGACAGUGCUUUUCAAACACUUCUCUUUGGAGCCUGGGCAUUCCUUGGUAUUCUUUCAAAUACAGAUGCUGGGGUGGGGGAGUGUGGGAGCUGCAUUCUCUCCACUUACUGUCUUUAGCCCCUUAUUUUCUGUGCAACAGGUUGAGCGUCAGUGUAGGAUUUUGAUUGAAGAGAAGAGUAUUCAGCUAAAAAAUGUGCUCUUCUUGUGUGUACCUCAAUUUGGAGACCACUGGGAAAGGCUGUGGGAGGCAACAUACAUCACAGCGAGGUGUCAGUUGUGAAGCUGGACAGCCUGGCUUCAAAGCCCAGCUCCACUAUUCCUUGGCUGUGUGGUCUUGGACACAUCACUUAAUCUCUGUAAAUCUACCUUCUCCUCCAUAACGUGAGGACGUUAAUACCUUACGGCGUUUUGUAAGGUAAGGUUUAAUCCUUGUACAGCACCUGGUACAUGGUAAGCAUUUGAUUCCAUUUAGCUAACGAUGAUAACGAUCAUACUAAAGUGGUCCUAGAGAGUGGGGCUGGGUCUAGGUUCUUCUCACUCUUUUUACAGCGUACCACAGCGUGAUGCACACACGGCACUCAUUCAGGUGUUGCAGUGCUGCUGGUGCUGAUGAUGGUGAUGCUAUAAUGAUAGGUACAGGGAUGGUUGUGUUGGGUGUGAUCAACUGUAC